GAGAGGUCAAUGAUCUUUAGAUGAAGAGGAUGAGAAACAGGAAGAUGAGGAAGAAGUAGGACCUCCUCUGCUCACUCCUCUCUCCCAAGAUGCAAACUUGUAUAACACCACACCUUGGAGCUCCAGGCUGUCAUCCAGCCUGAGUCCUCAGCAUGCCUUUGCUGUGCUGCGCUCUAACUUGUGGCCAGGAGCAUUUGCAUACGCUGAUGGAAAGAAGUUUGAGAACAUCUACAUUGGAUGGGUGUGAAGAAUGUAGUGAAGG